AAAUUGAAGAGUUUGAUCAUGGCUCAGAUUGAACGCUGGCGGCAGGCCUAACACAUGCAAGUCGAACGGUAACAGGAAUCAGCUUGCUGAUUCGCUGACGAGUGGCGGACGGGUGAGUAAUGUCUGGGAAACUGCCUGAUGGAGGGGGAUAACUACUGGAAACGGUAGCUAAUACCGCAUAACGUCGCAAGACCAAAGAGGGGGACCUUCGGGCCUCUUGCCAUCAGAUGUGCCCAGAUGGGAUUAGCUAGUAGGUGGGGUAACGGCUCACCUAGGCGACGAUCCCUAGCUGGUCUGAGAGGAUGACCAGCCACACUGGAACUGAGACACGGUCCAGACUCCUACGGGAGGCAGCAGUGGGGAAUAUUGCACAAUGGGCGCAAGCCUGAUGCAGCCAUGC
rnacentral:rRNA from 1 species